rnacentral:rRNA from 1 species
AAUCAUCUAGCUCGCAUCGUUUACGGCUGGGACUACCCGGGUAUCUAAUCCGGUUCGCUCCCCCAGCUUUCACCCCUCACCGUCGAGCGCGUUCUGGCGGACCGCCUUCGCCACUGGUGGUCUUCCGCGGAUCAAAGGAUUUUACCCCUACACGCGGAGUACCGUCCGCCUCUCCCGCCUCCUAGUCUCGCAGUAUCCUCUGCAGGCCAGCCGUUGAGCGACUGGAUUUAACAGAGGACUUACGAAACCGGCUACGGGUGCUUUAGGCCCAAUAAUCGUCCCGACCACUCGAGGAGCUGGUAUUACCGCGGCGGCUGACACCAGACUUGCCCUCCCCUUAUUCC